GAUGAACGCUGGCGGCGUGCCUAAUACAUGCCAGUCGAGCGAACAGACGAGAGUGCUUGCACUCUCUGACGUUAGCGGCGGACGGGUGAGUAACACGUGGGUAACCUACCUAUAAGACUGGGAUAACUUCGGGAAACCGGAGCUAAUACCGGAUAAUAUUUAGCUUCGCAUGAAGCAAUAGUGAAAGACGGUUCUGUUGUCACUUAUAGAUGGACCCGCGGUGUAUUAGCUAGUUGGUGAGGUAACGGCUCACCAAGGCAACGAUACAUAGCCGACCUGAGAGGGUGAUCGGCCACACUGGGACUGAGACACGGCCCAGACUCCUACGGGAGGCAGCAGUAGGGAAUCUUCCGCAAUGGACGAAAGUCUGACGGAGCAAUGCAGCGUGAGUGAAGAAGGUUUUCGGAUCGUAAAACUCUGUUGUAAGGGAAGAACAAGUACGUUAGUAACUGAACGUACCUUGACGGUACCUUACCAGAAAGCCACGGCUAACUACGUG
rnacentral:rRNA from 1 species